rnacentral:lncRNA from 10 species
UGCCAAGUAGCUGGGACUACAGGCGCCCGUCACCACGCCGGGCUAAUUUUUUGUAUUUUUAGUAGAGACGGAGUUUCACCAUGUUAGCCAGGAUGGUCUCGAUCUUCUGACCUCGUGAUCCGCCCGCCUCGGCCUCCAAAGUGCUGGGAUCUGAAUUCAAUUUUGCAGAUGUGAUUGCUUCCCCUUCGCCUUCUGCCAUGAUUGUAAUUUUCCUGAGGCCUUCCCAGCCAUGCUUUGUGUACACCCUGUGGAAAUGAAGCCAAAGAAAGUGAAAGGAUCCUAGCAAGUUUCCUGAACACAUCAACUUCAGGGUUAUGGCCCACCACAAGGGAUAUUCUCAAGGGUUGAGCACCAUCUUCACACCACACAACUUCCAGGAUUAUCUCCUUCCAACCACCAGAGUCACAUCCUGCAGCUCCUGGGAAAUGUUGAUGUGAUCCUGUUGGUGAUUGGUUUCCUCAUCAUAAUGUGCUCUCAUUUCUGCCUGAAGUUGAGACAAUUCUGAAAAGCCACCUCAGGUCCAGAGCACUCCAUAAGACAAGGGCAUUGACUCUCUGGAUCUGAAGAAGGCACCCAUCCCUGCUAAACUGUGAGUAUUGAAACCAGCUGCAGCAUCGUCUUCAGACUCAGGAGAAGCUGACAAUCAAAAUGAACUGCUUUUGUGAGACAUGGUGCCAGAAAUUAAAACUAUUAAAUCAUUAUUAAAUCCCUCUAGGACCAGGGACUAUUGGGAAAAUGAGAGCACAUGUGAUUCUAAGGGCUGAUUUUGAGGGAUAAAAUUAAUUCACAGUUUUUCUAUAAAUUAAACAUUAAUAUCAAAAGUACACUGAUGCAAGUCUAGCAUCUGAGCCUGUGUGUUGGAAUAACGGGGUUCUUUUGGAACAUUAAUCUCAUUUUUUUUUGUUUUAUUGAUCUUCUUUUCAAUAGAAAA